GGUAGCUACACAUGCAGCCGAGCGGUAGAGAUUCUUCGGGAUCUUGAGAGCGGCGUACGGGUGCGUAACACGUGUGCAACCUGCCUUUAUCUAGGGGAUAGCCUUUCGAAAGGAAGAUUAAUACCCUAUAAUAUAUUGAUUGGCAUCAAUUGAUAUCGAAAACUCCGGUGGAUAGAGAUGGGCACGCGCAAGAUUAGAUAGUUGGUGAGGUAACGGCUCACCAAGUCGAUGAUCUUUAGGGGGCCUGAGAGGGUGAUCCCCCACACUGGUACUGAGACACGGACCAGACUCCUACGGGAGGCAGCAGUGAGGAAUAUUGGACAAUGGGUGAGAGCCUGAUCCAGCCAUCCCGCGUGAAGGACGACGGUUCUAUGGAUUGUAAACUUCUUUUGUACAGGGAUAAACCUACCCUCGUGAGGGUAGCUGAAGGUACUGUACGAAUAAGCACCGGCUAACUCCGUGCCAGCAGCCGCGGUAAUACGGAGGGUGCAAGCGUUAUCCGGAUUUAUUGGGUUUAAAGGGUCCGUAGGCGGACUUAUAAGUCAGUGGUGAAAGCCGGCAGCUUAACUGUCGAACUGCCAUUGAUACUGUAGGUCUUGAGUGUAUUUGAAGUGGCUGGAAUAAGUAGUGUAGCGGUGAAAUGCAUAGAUAUUACUUAGAACACUAAUUGCGAAAGGCAGGUCACUAAGAUACAACUGACGCUGAUGGACGAAAGCGUGGGGAGCGAACAGGAUUAGAUACCCUGGUAGUCCACGCUGUAAACGAUGCUAACUCGUUUUGGGUUUUAAGACUCAGAGACCAAGCGAAAGUGAUAAGUUAGCCACCUGGGGGAGUACGUUCGCAAGAAUGAAACUCCAAAGGAAUUGAC
rnacentral:rRNA from 1 species